AUCAACUCAGCUGGAUCCAGUUGCCUGUGAAGCAGAAAUCCUGUGUAGCCCUGAUUACAUCACUGGAGUGAAGUGAUUGUAUCUUUCCAGGAGCAACUUCAUUAUCUGUGCAUGGGUAUGUACAGCUUGUGGGACCAUAAAAAAACCUCUCAGUGUAAAGGCAAAGAGCUUUCUCCUUCUGGGCAUAGAUGGAGUCAAGAGACUGAAUGAACCAUCCACAUCUUGCUGCAUUGUCUUCCAUUAUCUCUCAGCCUUUACAUCAGAAACACCAGAAGAAAACAUGGUGAAAUGCAGACCCUCCAUGUGCCACAGGCUGCUGGGAAUGACAGGACACAUUCUUCCAGGGCUGCCUGAUGACUGCUCCAGAAGGUACACUACAGGAGUGGAUAAGGACCCACUAGAAGCCAGGAAGUCUCUAAUGUAUUGUCCUUUCAAGCAAACAGCUUUAGCUUUUUAA